GCCCAGUGAUGAUACCAAGGCGAAUCUGAGCUCUGUGGAUGGGGCUCUGGGCUCUCCUGCGCUCGCGUUGGCCGGUAAUCUUGGCUGAGCAGCGGAGUCUUGCUGCUCUGCUGUAAGGGCCGGCCUACAGCAAACCCGGUCUCGCCACAAAGACCUUCUUGCAGAGACGUGCACAGAAGGGAGAUAUGGUGGGACCUACAGAGAGAGUGUGUGAAUGUGAGUGAGUGAUUGAGUGAGUGAGUGCUUGAGACCCAGUCCUUCGACGAAUCCAAUGAGCUAUGAGCUGCCUCUUUGGUAAUCUGAGGGCA